AUGAACAGACUGGUAAGGCAUAUUUGAGUGGAGGUAUGCCACUGGCUGCUCAUGAACAGACUGGUAAGGCAUAUUUGAGUGGAGGUAUGCCACUGGCUGCUCAUGAACAGACUGGUAAGGCAUAUUUGAGUGGAGGUAUGCCACUGGCAGCUCAUGAAUAGACUGGUAAGGCAUAUUUGAGUGGAGGUAUGCCACUGGCUGCUCAUGAACAGACUGGUAAGGCAUAUUUGAGUGGAGGUAUGCCACUGGCAGCUCAUGAAUAGACUGGUAAGGCAUAUUUGAGUGGAGGUUUG